rnacentral:tRNA from 13 species
UGCGUCGGCCGGAAGUCGAACCUGGGUCAACUGCUUGGAGGGCAGCUAUGCUAACCGUUAUACCACAGACGC